rnacentral:rRNA from 1 species
GUGAGGAAUAUUGGUCAAUGGGCGGGAGCCUGAACCAGCCAAGUCGCGUGAAGGAAGAAGGAUCUAUGGUUCGUAAACUUCUUUUGCAGGGGAAUAAAGUACGGUACGUGUACCGUUUUGUAUGUACUCUGCGAAUAAGGAUCGGCUAACUCCGUGCCAGCAGCCGCGGUAAUACGGAGGAUCCAAGCGUUAUCCGGAUUUAUUGGGUUUAAAGGGUGCGCAGGCGGGUUGAUAAGUCAGCGGUGAAAGUUUGCAGCUUAACUGUAAAAUUGCCGUUGAAACUGUCGAUCUUGAGUGCAAAUGAGGUAAGCGGAAUGUGUUGUGUAGCGGUGAAAUGCUUAUAUAUAACACAGAACACCGAUUGCGAAGGCAGCUUACUGGGAUGCAACUGACGCUCAUGCACGAAAGCGUGGGGAUCAAACAGGAUUAGAUACCCGGGUAGUCC